UACGAAGGGGGCUAGCGUUGCUCGGAAUCACUGGGCGUAAAGGGCGCGUAGGCGGAUCUUUAAGUCGGGGGUGAAAGCCUGAGGCUCAACCUCAGAAUUGCCUUCGAUACUGGAGAUCUUGAGACCGGAAGAGGUAAGUGGAACUGCGAGUGUAGAGGUGAAAUUCGUAGAUAUCAAGCGGAACACCGGUGGCGAAGGCGGCCUUCUGGACAGUGACUGACGCUGAGACGCGAAAGCGUGGGGAGCAAACAGG
rnacentral:rRNA from 1 species